rnacentral:rRNA from 1 species
UACGUAGGGUGCGAGCGUUAAUCGGAAUUACUGGGCGUAAAGGGUGCGCAGGCGGCGUCGCAAGUCAGGCGUGAAAUCCCCGGGCUUAACCUGGGAACUGCACUUGAAACUACGAUGCUGGAGUAUGGCAGAGGGAGGUGGAAUUCCACGUGUAGCGGUGAAAUGCGUAGAUAUCUGGAGGAACACCGGUGGCGAAAGCGGCUCACUGGACCGUGUCUGACGCUGAGGUGCGAAAGCUAGGGUAGCGAACGGG